CCUACGGGAGGCAGCAGUGGGGAAUAUUGCACAAUGGGGGAAACCCUGAUGCAGCGACGCCGCGUGAGCGAAGAAGUAUUUCGGUAUGUAAAGCUCUAUCAGCAGGAACGAGACAAGACGGUACCUGACUAAGAAGCCCCGGCUAACUACGUGCCAGCAGCCGCGGUAAUACGUAGGGGGCAAGCGUUAUCCGGAAUCACUGGGUGUAAGGGGAGCGUAGACGGCUGAGCAAGCCUGAAGUGAAAGGCGGGGGCCCAACCCCCGGACUGCUUUGGGAACUGUACGGCUGGAGUGCAGGAGAGGUAAGUGGAAUUCCUAGUGUAGCGGUGAAAUGCGUAGAUAUUAGGAGGAACACCAGUGGCGAAGGCGGCUUACUGGACUGUAACUGACGUUGAGGCUCGAAAGCGUGGGGAGCAAACAGGAUUAGAUACCCUGGUAGUC
rnacentral:rRNA from 1 species